rnacentral:tRNA from 1 species
GCGGCAGUAGUCUAAUGGUAGGACAUCACCCUGCCACGGUGGUAAUCCGGGUUCGAACAGCAUCGACUUUGUCAUGCUUUGGAAGUCCCGGCUGCCGCA